rnacentral:rRNA from 1 species
UGAACGCUGGCGGCGUGCUUAACACAUGCAAGUCGCACGAGAACGAUCCAGCUUGCUGGAUCAAGUAAAGUGGCGCACGGGUGAGUAACGCGUGGAUGAUCUACCCUUGAAUUUGGGAUAACUCUUCGAAAGGGGAGCUAAUACCGGAUAACAUCUCAUUUUUUUCGAAUUUUGAGAUCAAAGAUGGCCUCUCCAUGGAAGCUAUUGUUUGAGGAUGAGUCCGCGUACCAUUAGCUAGUUGGCAGGGUAAAGGCCUACCAAGGCGACGAUGGUUAGCUGGUCUGAGAGGAUGACCAGUCACACUGGAACUGACACACGGUCCAGACUCCUACGGGAGGCAGCAGUGAGGAAUUUUGCGCAAUGGGGGAAACCCUGACGCAGCAACGCCGCGUGAGUGAUGAAGGCCUUCGGGUCGUAAAGCUCUGUCAAGUGGGAAGAACCUACUUAUGGGUAAUAUUCAUGGGUACUGACGGUACCACUGAAGGAAGCACCGGCUAACUCC